AUGAACGCUGGCGGCGUGCUUAACACAUGCAAGUCGAACGAAGCAUCCCUCCCGAAGAAGCGGAAGUGCUUGCACCGAAGUGGAUUCAUUGGGAUGACUUAGUGGCGGACGGGUGAGUAACGCGUGGGCAACCUGCCCCAUAGAGGGGGACAACAGUUAGAAAUGACUGCUAAUACCGCAUAGGAAGAAACUGACGCAUGUCAGUUUCUUGAAAGCCUUUGCGCUAUGGGAUGGGCCCGCGUUUGAUUAGCUAGUUGGUGAGGUAACGGCCCACCAAGGCGACGAUCAAUAGCCGGCUUGAGAGAGUGAACGGCCACAUUGGGACUGAGACACGGCCCAAACUCCUACGGGAGGCAGCAGUGGGGAAUAUUGCACAAUGGGGGAAACCCUGAUGCAGCGAACCGCCGCGUGAGUGAAUGAAGUAUUUCGGUAUGUAAAGCUCUAUCAGCAGGAAAGAUAAUGACGGUACCUGACUAAGAAGCCCCGGCUAACUACGUGCCAGCAGCCGC
rnacentral:rRNA from 1 species